rnacentral:misc_RNA from 1 species
GCAAACUUGGUCAUUUAGAGGAAGUAAAAGUCGUAACAAGGUUUCCGUAGGUGAACCUGCGGAAGGAUCAUUAACAAAUCGUUGUAUGGCGGUCGGCCCCGAAAGGGACCCUCCCCAUAUAUAUUAGCCCCGAGCCUGGCAGCGAUGCCGGCUCUGGUUGGGCAGGCCGCACUAAUCCUGCGGGCUGCUCCGGUCGUGUGCUGGGGGCCUCCGGGUCCCUAUGCCAGUGGCCACAUAGACGCUUGUAUGUUUGACAGAGUCGUUGGUUGACAACACUAAAGUGACAACUUUUAACAAUGGAUCUCUUGGCUCUUGCAUCGAUGAAGAACGCAGC